GAUGAACGCUGGCGGCGUGCCUAAUACAUGCAAGUCGAGCGAACGGACGAGAAGCUUGCUUUUCUGAUGUUAGCGGCGGACGGGUUAGUAACACGUGGAUAACCUACCUAUAAGACUGGGAUAACUUCGGGAAACCGGAGCUAAUACCGGAUAAUAUUUUGAACCGCAUGGUUCAAAAGUGAAAGACGGUCUUGCUGUCACUUAUAGAUGGAUCCGCGCUGCAUUAGCUAGUUGGUAAGGUAACGGCUUACCAAGGCAACGAUGCAUAGCCGACCUGAGAGGGUGAUCGGCCACACUGGAACUGAGACACGGUCCAGACUCCUACGGGAGGCAGCAGUAGGGAAUCUUCCGCAAUGGGCGAAAGCCUGACGGAGCAACGCCGCGUGAGUGAUGAAGGUCUUCGGAUCGUAAAACUCUGUUAUUAGGGAAGAACAUAUGUGUAAGUAACUGUGCACAUCUUGACGGUACCUAAUCAGAAAGCCACGGCUAACUACGUG
rnacentral:rRNA from 1 species